GACGAACGCUGGCGGCGUGCCUAAUACAUGCAAGUUGAGCGCUGAAGGUUGGUACUUGUACCAACUGGAUGAGCAGCGAACGGGUGAGUAACGCGUGGGGAAUCUGCCUUUGAGCGGGGGACAACAUUUGGAAACGAAUGCUAAUACCGCAUAAAAACUUUAAACACAAGUUUUAAGUUUGAAAGAUGCAAUUGCAUCACUCAAAGAUGAUCCCGCGUUGUAUUAGCUAGUUGGUGAGGUAAAGGCUCACCAAGGCGAUGAUACAUAGCCGACCUGAGAGGGUGAUCGGCCACAUUGGGACUGAGACGCGGCCCAAACUCCUGCGGGAGGCAGCAGUAGGGAAUCUUCGGCAAUGGACGAAAGUCUGACCGAGCAACGCCGCGUGAGUGAAGAAGGUUUUCGGAUCGUAAAACUCUGUUGGUAGAGAAGAACGUUGGUGAGAGUGGAAAGCUCAUCAAGUGACGGUAACUACCCAGAAAGGGACGGCUAACUACGUG
rnacentral:rRNA from 1 species